UACGGAGGGGACUAGCGUUGUUCGGAAUUAUUGGGCGUAAAGCGCGCGCAGGCGGUUCUUUAAGUCUGAUGUGAAAGCCCACGGCUCAACCGUGGAGGGUCAUUGGAAACUGGGGAACUUGAGUACAGAAGAGGAAAGCGGAAUUCCACGUGUAGCGGUGAAAUGCGUAGAGAUGUGGAGGAACACCAGUGGCGAAGGCGGCUUUCUGGUCUGUAACUGACGCUGAGGCGCGAAAGCGUGGGGAGCAAACAGG
rnacentral:rRNA from 1 species